UAUGACUCUCGGCAAUGGAUAUCUCGGCUCUUGCAUCGAUGAAGAACGUAGUGAAAUGCGAUACUUGGUGUGAAUUGCAGAAUCUCGUGAACCAUUGAGUCUUUGAACGCAAGUUGUGCCCGAGGCUUUGUGGCCGAGGGCACGCCUGCUUGGGCG
rnacentral:rRNA from 10 species